rnacentral:rRNA from 1 species
AGUGAACGCUGGCGGUAGGCCUAACACAUGCAAGUCGAACGGCAGCACAGUAAGAGCUUGCUCUUACGGGUGGCGAGUGGCGGACGGGUGAGGAAUACAUCGGAAUCUACUUUUUCGUGGGGGAUAACGUAGGGAAACUUACGCUAAUACCGCAUACGACCUACGGGUGAAAGCAGGGGACCUUCGGCCCUUGGGGGAUUAAAUGGGCGGAUGUCGGAUUGGUAAGUUGGCGGGGUAAAGGCCAACCAAGGCGACGAUCCGUAGCUGGUCUGAGAGGAUGAUCAGCCACACUGGAACUGAGACACGGUCCAGACUCCUACGGGAGGCAGCAGUGGGGAAUAUUGGACAAUGGGCGCAAGCCUGAUCCAGCCAUACCGCGUGGGUGAAGAAGGCCUUCGGGUUGUAAAGCCCUUUUGUUGGGAAAGAAAAGCAGCAGGUUAAUACCCCGCUGUUCUGACGGUACCCAAAGAAUAAGCACCGGCUAACUUCGUG